UCUUUGAAAAAUAUGUAGGAUGCCUCUUCUUUGAUGUAUUGCAGCCGGUGUAUCGUAAGACCUGCAGACUCACUUCCCUAUGAAAGUAGUUUCGAAAAGUCGUUCAGAGAGUGGUUUCCAGGCCCUUGGGAAUGACAUGCUUCGACAGAGAUGUGAACGCCCUCCAUGUCUCUGUUCCGAGAAACCAAACCUGAUCAGAACCCAGGGUGAGGAUGACAGAAAACGGACCGCGUGACAAGCUAAGGCCCAAGCAUGGGCCAGCAGGGCAGUGAAUCAACACCGAGGGGUCUUCCUCAUUGAUCUGAGUCCCAGAGGAGCCUCUCCGCAAACGCCACUGGAUGCCCGGGCCUGCGCGGCUGCAUUCUACACCACCCGGCCCUGCCUGGUUUCAUCACCUCUCCCUGAGUGUUUGAUGAUGGUAACUUUGAUCUGAGCCCGAAACCCCAAAUCAAAGUGAUCGUUUGUUUAAUAUUUGUCACACAUCCGGAAAUUCUAAGACCCAAAACAGAACAGAAAGCACUAUAACAAGGAUUUUCCUUUCCAGCCAAUUAAGGUCAUUAAAGAACAGUGUCCCGAUUCAAAUAGUUGCCUAAGCUUAGAAUUAGUGAGUUUCCCCAGCAACAAGUUACAAAAAGAGUCCACCAAAUCAUGUCGGAGAACAGAGGGAAAAUAGAAACGUAGAAAUAAAAGUAUGAUUAAACAAUUCCUUUGACACCUACGUAAUUUAAUCUAAAUAGAAGGCAGAUCCCACAUGUGCAUCUAAGCAAGGACCUGAACUUUCGAGUUACUUGGAGGAACACAGGUUUCCCUCCGCUAUUCAAAAGCUGAGUGCUCCGCUGAAACCUUUCAUAAGCUGAAAGGGAAGAAAUAAUUAGCAUUAAUUUGCACGGAAAAUAAUGUGAGCAUUUCCAGACCCCCAAAUAAAAAGCCUGGGCUUUCCGGAUACCUUGGGACACAUCUUGCUAACGGACGCACAAGACAGAUCCAGAUAAAGCACAGGUGCUCCGUGACA
rnacentral:lncRNA from 1 species